GUCACUUGAAAUUGUCAUGUUUAUUCUUUUCAGAAGAUAUGUUGAAAUUCCACUGAAAGGAAGAUAAAGAUAUUAGUAAAGUACGUAUUGUACAAAAGAUGCUUCAUAAAUUUAUCGGGCUAAUAAUUUUAUUUGAUGUGUCUUUAAAUUGGGGGAACUGGAAAUACAUCCAUGUGGCAGACAUGCAGUAAUUUUUUACUAUUGUGAUGAUGGAAAAUGUGAUAGAUGAAAAGAA
rnacentral:lncRNA from 1 species